AUUGAACGCUGGCGGCAUGCUUUACACAUGCAAGUCGAACGGCAGCACGGGAGCAAUCCUGGUGGCGAGUGGCGAACGGGUGAGUAAUAUAUCGGAACGUGCCUUAUAGUGGGGGAUAACGCAGCGAAAGUUGCGGUAAUACCGCAUACGCCCUGAGGGGGAAAGCGGGGGAUCGAAAGACCUCGCGCUACUAGAGCGGCCGAUAUCUGAUUAGCUAGUUGGUGAGGUAAAGGCUCACCAAGGCUUCGAUCAGUAGCUGGUCUGAGAGGACGAUCAGCCACACUGGGACUGAGACACGGCCCAGACUCCUACGGGAGGCAGCAGUGGGGAAUUUUGGACAAUGGGGGCAACCCUGAUCCAGCAAUGCCGCGUGAGUGAAGAAGGCCUUCGGGUUGUAAAGCUCUUUUGUCAGGGAAGAAACAGCAGCUCUAACACAGCUGUGAAUGACGGUACCUGAAGAAUAAGCACCGGCUAACUACGUGCCAGCAGCCGCGGUAAUACGUAGGGUGCAAGCGUUAAUCGGAAUUACUGGGCGUAAAGCGUGCGCAGGCGGUUAUACAAGACAGGCGUGAAAUCCCCGGGCUUAACCUGGGAAUUGCGUCUGUGACUGUAUGGCUAGAGUGUGUCAGAGGGGGGUAGAAUUCCACGUGUAGCAGUGAAAUGCGUAGAUAUGUGGAGGAA
rnacentral:rRNA from 1 species